rnacentral:rRNA from 1 species
UACGUAGGGGGCUAGCGUUGUCCGGAUUUAUUGGGCGUAAAGAGCGUGUAGGCGGCCAGGUAGGUCUGCUGUGAAAACUCGAGGCUCAACCUCGAGACGUCGGCGGAAACCAUCUGGCUAGAGUCCGGAAGAGGAGAGUGGAAUUCCUGGUGUAGCGGUGAAAUGCGCAGAUAUCAGGAAGAAUAUCCGUGGCGAAGGCGGCUCUCUGGGACGGUACUGACGCUGAGACGCGAAAGCGUGGGGAGCGAACAGG